CUACAGCUAAGAUGGCCCAAGUAUCAAUGGCCGUCAUACUUUUUCACAAAGAUGCCUGUUUUACUUCCACUUCUAGGAAGGAGUCUAAAAGGAGAAAGAUUGGAAAGAAGAUCUAGCUGUACUUAGUAACUGACUGAAUGCAAGGGUUAACUGGAAGAGAACAUAAAUCAAGAUGACAUCUAGGUAUCUGAUUUGGAAAUCUAAAUACAAGAUUUUGAAAUUCCCUGGCAGAGAAACAUGAAAGAGAAGAUAGCAAAUAAGUGAAGCCAUUCCUUAAAUUAACAAAAAUACACAUAUGGAUUACAGUCUUAUUUUCCUUAUUACCAGGCUUCCUGUUUUUGGCUAAACAUUCCCCAAAGAGAGGAAGUAGAGGAGACAGGAGACAAUGAAAUGAAAUGUGAAAAUAUUAUUCAAAAUUUAAAAUACAAUUUUGAAAAAGAUGCCAGCAUCCUCAACAACAGCCUACACUCGCAUCCACAUGAAUGAAAGAUAAAUGCCUCAGGCUGGUUGCUGCUGGGCUUCUGAUCAUGGGUGUGCCUGCAGGAAAACCUGUGUAUUUCAGCACUGUUUAUGAGUCAUCAUGGGCAAAAAGGACACCCAAUCCUACCUAAGACAUUUUCAGAUCUCAGCUUUAAGAACAACUCAUUUUCUCAUAACAAUGGAUGAAGAAGACAAGAACCCCGAGAGUGUUGCUGUCACAGUCUCUACUGUGAACUUGCAUGAGGCAUAUCAGAUUGUAGAAAGGGUGUCUACGUCCGUAUUAUCUAGAGCUAUAUUUAUAUCUGUAUCUAGAUAUCUAUAGGUAGACAAAAUAACGAAGACACUUCCACUUUUACGGGUAUUAGAAUUCAUAACCAACAUACUUAAAACUUCACCUUUAUUAAACAGGCAAAACUGCUUUUUCUUAAGGACUCGAAAUUCCCCUAUUUUUGUCUUUUGGAGUCAGAUAUUUUGAAUAAAUCAAGGAGUUCUCAUCACUUUCUCAACAUUUCAGGUGAUCUGCUUUCAGGAAGACAGACAUUGGAGUAAGAAAGAGCGACACCCGGACACCAGGGAUGCAUACACUCAGGGAAGAGGCUAGAUGGAGACACAAUUAGAUGGUCAUCUGCAAGCCAAGCUCUGCUAAGGGACAACAGCUGUCCUGUGCUCCAAACCUGAAACAGCCUGGUGGGUGAUGACAAGAGAUCGAGACAAUAUGAACUAGGAGUUGAGGUGAGAGCGUGAUUCGUGAAAGAAAACUAGACUUGGGCCUCAACAAUAAGAAGCCUUCAAGGGUUUCUUUUUGUUUAUGCAGCUGCUUGUUUAUUUGGUUUUUGCUUGUGCAUCUGUAUUUUGUAUUGAGAAGCCAUUGACAGAUUCUCCUGGCUUGCAUCAAAUUUAUGCAGGAGCUCCACACACUUCCUGAAGCCAUUUAGGCUGACUUUCAUAUCCACUGGUGUGAAAUAAAAG